rnacentral:tRNA from 1 species
CCUGGCUUAGUUUAGUGUUAGUGUACCGCCCUGUCAAGGCGGAAGCUGCGGGUUCGAGCCCCGUCAGUCCCG